rnacentral:tRNA from 1 species
GGAUAUUAGUUAAAUUAAUAACAUUUAAAUUGCAAUUAAAGAUUUAUAUUUUAUAUAAUAUCU